rnacentral:rRNA from 1 species
GAAGCUUGCUUCUCUGCUGACGAGCGGCGGACGGGUGAGUAAGACUUGGGAAUUUGCCUUUAGGCGGGGGACAACCACUGGAAACGGUGGCUAAUACCGCAUAAUGUCUACGGACCAAAGUGGGGGACCUUCGGGCCUCACACCUAAAGAUGAGCCCAAGCGGGAUUAGCUAGUUGGUGGGGUAAAGGCUCACCAAGGCGACGAUCCCUAGCUGUUCUGAGAGGAUGAUCAGCCACACUGGGACUGAGACACGGCCCAGACUCCUACGGGAGGCAGCAGUGGGGAAUAUUGCACAAUGGGGGAAACCCUGAUGCAGCCAUGCCGCGUGUGUGAAGAAGGCCUUCGGGUUGUAAAGCACUUUCAGUGGUGAGGAAAGGGUGAUAGUUAAUAGCUAUCACAGUUGACGUUAGCCACAGAAGAAGCACCGGCUAACUCCGUGCCAGCAGCCGCGGUAAUACGGAGGGUGCAAGCGUUAAUCGGAAUUACUGGGCGUAAAGCGUACGUAGGCGGUGUGUUAAGCUAGAUGUGAAAGCCCCGGGCUCAACCUGGGAAUAGCAUUUAGAACUGGCACGCUAGAGUCCUGAAGAGGGUGGUAGAAUUUCCAGUGUAGCGGUGAAAUGCGUAGAUAUUGGAAGGAAUACCGGUGGCGAAGGCGGCCACCUGGUCAGAGACUGACGCUGAGGUACGAAAGCGUGGGGAGCAAACCAGGAUUAGAUACCCUGGUAGUCCACGCCGUAAACGAUGUCAACUAGUUGUUCGUGUCAUUAAGACGUGAGUAACGCAGCUAACGCACUAAGUUGACCGCCUGGGGGAGUACGGCCGCAAGGUUAAAACUCAAAUGAAUUGACGGGGGCCCGCACAAGCGGUGGAGCAUGUGGUUUAAUUCGAUGCAACGCGAAGAACCUUACCAUCCCUUGACAUCCAGUGAAUUUUCCAGAGAUGGAUUAGUGCCUUCGGGAACACUGAGACAGGUGCUGCAUGGCUGUCGUCAGCUCGUGUUGUGAAAAUGUUUGGGUUAAGUCCCGCAACGAGCGCAACCCUUAUCCUUAGUUGCCAGCGGUUCGGCCGGGAACUCUGGGGA